rnacentral:sRNA from 1 species
AAAUCUUUUUUAUAUGCCUCAUGUGGAUUUUUCCUCAUAUUCUGUUUGUUAUUAAAAAUAUGAAAUGGCUGUUUCAAGUAUUAUGUGACUGAAACAAGAACCCCAAUUCCUUGCAUUAAUUGUUUAUUGUAUAUACAUGUACAUAGUGGUGAGCUAUACACUCAAUUUGUACAACUGAAUUUUAUUGUAUUAAGCCAUGGACAAUGUUGUCUCAUGAUUACACACCCCCACCCCCAUGAAGUAAUAAUUUUACAGCAGACGUACAUGCAAAAAAAGAAAUGAACUGUGAUACUCUGUAGCUUUGUUAGGGAUUGUAGUUGAUGGUGCUUUUUGUGUGUAUUGUUCAUGUUCUGAUUAUGAAAUAUUCAGCAGAAAUACUGUAUACAAAAGGCGUAAUGAUAAUAAAUAAAUAUAUUA